UACGUAGGGCGCAAGCGUUGUCCGGAAUUAUUGGGCGUAAAGAGCUCGUAGGCGGUUUGUCGCGUCUGCUGUGAAAACCUAAGGCUCAACCUUGGGCUUGCAGUGGGUACGGGCAGACUAGAGUGCGGUAGGGGUGACUGGAAUUCCUGGUGUAGCGGUGGAAUGCGCAGAUAUCAGGAGGAACACCGAUGGCGAAGGCAGGUCACUGGGCCGCAACUGACGCUGAGGAGCGAAAGCCAGGGGAGCAAACGGG
rnacentral:rRNA from 1 species